rnacentral:rRNA from 1 species
AACGAACGCUGGUGGCGUGUUUUAUACAUGCAAGUCGAGCGAGGCGCUGUAGCAAUACAGUAGUCGAGCGGCGAACGGGUGAGUAACACGUGAACAAUCUGCCCCUCAAUUGGGAACAACCGGGCCAACGCCCGGCUAAUGCCGAAUAUAGUGUAGAGUCGCCUGACUUUAUGACGAAAGAUUUAUCGCUCAUGGAUGGGCUCGCGUCCCAUUAGCUAGUUGGUAGGGUAGAAGCCUACCAAGGCGACGAUGGGUAGCCGACCUGAGAGGGUGAUCGGCCACACUGGAACUGAGACACGGUCCAGACUCCUACGGGAGGCAGCAGUGGGGAAUAUUGGGCAAUGGGGGAAACCCUGACCCAGCAACGCCGCGUGAGGGAAGAAGGUUUUAGGAUUGUAAACCUCUGUCCUUGGGGACGAAACAAAUGACGGUACCCAAGGAGGAAGCUCCGGCUAACUACGUGCCAGCAGCCGCGGUAAUACGUAGGGAGCAAGCGUUGUCCGGAAUUACUGGGCGUAAAGGGUGCGUAGGCGGCGCAUUAAGUCAGAUGUGAAAUAUCCGGGCUCAACCCGGAGGGUGCAUCUGAAACUGGUGUGCUUGAGUGCAGGAGAGGUAAGUGGAAUUCCUAGUGUAGCGGUGAAAUGCGUAGAUAUUAGGAGGAACACCAGUGGCGAAGGCGACUUACUGGACUGUAACUGACGCUGAGGCACGAAAGCGUGGGGAGCAAACAGGAUUAGAUACCCUGGUAGUCCACGCCGUAAACGAUGGAUACUGGGUGUAGGGGUCAUAAGGUCUCUGUGCCGCAGUAAACGCAAUAAGUAUCCCGCCUGGGGAGUACGGUCGCAAGACUGAAACUCAAAGGAAUUGACGGGGGCCCGCACAAGCAGCGGAGCAUGUGGUUUAAUUCGAAGCAACGCGAAGAACCUUACCAAGGCUUGACAUCCCGAUGACCGACAUAGAGAUAUGUCUUUUCUUCGGAACAUCGGUGACAGGUGGUGCAUGGUUGUCGUCAGCUCGUGUCGUGAGAUGUUGGGUUAAGUCCCGCAACGAGCGCAACCCUUAUUGCUAGUUGCCAACAGGUAAUGCUGGGAACUCUAGUGAGACUGCCGAGGACAACUCGGAGGAAGGCGGGGACGACGUCAAAUCAUCAUGCCCCUUAUGUCUUGGGCUACACACGUGCUACAAUGGUCGGUACAAAGAGCAGCGAACUCGCAAGGGUAAGCGAAUCUCAAAAAGCCGGUCCCAGUUCGGAUUGUGGGCUGCAACCCGCCCACAUGAAGUUGGAGUUGCUAGUAAUCGCGAAUCAGCAUGUCGCGGUGAAUGCGUUCCCGGGCCUUGUACACACCGCCCGUCACACCACGGAAGUUGGGGGCGCCCGAAGCCAGUGGCCUAACCGCAAGGAGGGAGCUGUCGAAGGUGAAAUCAAUGACUGGGGUG